CGAGGACGAACGCUGGCGGCACGCUUAACACAUGCAAGUCGAACGGAGUUUUGAGAGCUUGCUUUAAAAACUUAGUGGCGGACGGGUGAGUAACACGUGAGCAAUCUGCCUUCAGAGGGGGAUAGCAGUUGGAAACGACUGAUAAUACCGCAUAAUAUAUACGGACCGCAUGAUCUGUAUAUCAAAGAUUUAUCGCUGAAAGAUGAGCUCGCGUCUGAUUAGAUAGUUGGUGAGGUAACGGCUCACCAAGUCGACGAUCAGUAGCCGGACUGAGAGGUUGAACGGCCACAUUGGGACUGAGACACGGCCCAGACUCCUACGGGAGGCAGCAGUGGGGAAUAUUGCACAAUGGGCGCAAGCCUGAUGCAGCGAUGCCGCGUGAGGGAAGAAGGUUUUAGGAUUGUAAACCUCUGUCUUUGGGGACGAUAAUGACGGUACCCAAGGAGGAAGCUCCGGCUAACUACGUGCCAGCAGCCGC
rnacentral:rRNA from 1 species